UACGUAGGGUGCAAGCGUUGUCCGGAAUUAUUGGGCGUAAAGAGCUCGUAGGCGGCCUGUCACGUCGACUGUGAAAACCCAGGGCUCAACCCUGGGCCUGCAGUCGAUACGGGCAGGCUAGAGUGUGGUAGGGGAGACUGGAAUUCCUGGUGUAGCGGUGAAAUGCGCAGAUAUCAGGAGGAACACCGGUGGCGAAGGCGGGUCUCUGGGCCAUAACUGACGCUGAGGAGCGAAAGCGUGGGGAGCAAACAGG
rnacentral:rRNA from 1 species